rnacentral:rRNA from 1 species
UACGUUCCCGGACCUUGCACACACCGCCCGUCAAGCCAUGGAAGCCGGGUGUACCUAAAGUCGGUAACCGCAAGGAGCUGCCUAAGGUAAAACUGGUGACUGGGGCU